rnacentral:rRNA from 1 species
UGGGGAAUAUUGCACAAUGGGCGCAAGCCUGAUGCAGCCAUGCCGCGUGUGUGAAGAAGGCCUUCGGGUUGUAAAGCACUUUCAGCGAGGAGGAAGGUGGUGAGCUUAAUACGCUCAUCAAUUGACGUUACUCGCAGAAGAAGCACCGGCAAACUCUGUGCCAGCAGCCGCGGUAAUACAGAGGGUGCAAGCGUUAAUCGGAAUGACUGGGCGUAAAGGGCACGUAGGCGGUAAGAUAAGUAGGUUGUGAAAUACAUGGGCUUAACCUGUGGAGGUCAACCUAGACUAUUUUGCUAGAGACCAAGAGAGGGAGGAGAAAUUUCCGGUGUGCGGUGAAAUGCGUAGAGAUCGGAAGGAACACCAGUGGCGAAGGCGACCUUCUGGCUUGGGACUGACGCUGAGGUGCGAAAGCGUGGGGAGCGAACA